rnacentral:rRNA from 1 species
UACGGAGGGUGCAAGCGUUAUCCGGAUUCACUGGGUUUAAAGGGUGCGUAGGUGGGAAUGUAAGUCAGUGGUGAAAUCUCUGAGCUUAACUCGGAAACUGCCAUUGAUACUAUAGAUCUUGAAUUUUCUGGAGGUAAGCGGAAUAUGUCAUGUAGCGGUGAAAUGCUUAGAUAUGACAUAGAACACCAAUUGCGAAGGCAGCUUGCUACAGGAAUAUUGACACUGAGGCACGAAAGCGUGGGGAUCAAACAGG